rnacentral:tRNA from 1 species
GGUGGGGUGGCGGAGAAGUGAAAGAUCCGAAACGGCUACGCGUACGCCUGCAGAGCGUAUCUAUGUGGGUUCGAAUCCCACCCCCACCA